rnacentral:rRNA from 2 species
UACGGGGGGUGCGAGCGUUGUUCGGAAUCAUUGGGCGUAAAGAGCGUGUAGGCGGCUAGGCAAGUCAGAUGUGAAAUCCCUGGGCUUAACCCAGGAAGUGCAUUUGAAACUGCUUAGCUUGAGUAAGGAAGAGGGAAGUGGAAUUCCUGGUGUAGAGGUGAAAUUCGUAGAUAUCAGGAGGAACACCGGUGGCGAAGGCGACUUCCUGGUCCUAUACUGACGCUGAGACGCGAGAGCGUGGGGAGCAAACAGGAUUAGAUACCCUGGUAGUCCACGCCGUAAACGAUGUUCACUAGGUGUUGAGGGUAUUGACCCCUUCAGUGCCGAAGCUAACGCAUUAAGUGAACCGCCUGGGGAGUACGGUCGCAAGAUUAAA